rnacentral:rRNA from 1 species
UACGAAGGGGGCGAGCGUUGUUCGGAAUUACUGGGCGUAAAGGGUGCGUAGGUGGCGCCGUAAGUCGGGUGUGAAAUUUCGGAGCUUAACUCCGAAACUGCAUUCGAUACUGCGGUGCUUGAGGACUGGAGAGGAGACUGGAAUUCAUGGUGUAGCAGUGAAAUGCGUAGAGAUCAUGAGGAAGACCAGUGGCGAAGGCGGGUCUCUGGACAGUUCCUGACACUGAGGCACGAAGGCCAGGGGAGCAAACGGG